rnacentral:lncRNA from 1 species
ACCAACACUGGGUUAUGCUACCCUUGGCCGUGGCCUAACACGUGCGGACUGAAGCGUUGGUCAGGCACCCACUGCUUGGCUGCACGUCUGGGUCAUCUCAGAUAAGCUAAUCUAUCUCUUCUUUAAAAUAAGAUCAUGUGCUUCUCUGAUCCGGUUGUAGUAAGUUGUACAAGGCCUUAGCUGGUUGUCAGGAGGAACCUUCACCUCAUGGCUAAAACUUGGAUAAAACUGUGGGCAUACAAAAUACAUCUUUGUUUUUGUUGCCUUAUAAACAUGGCUGUGAAAGAACCGAAUAUUGGAAAACAACUGUAUAUCAAUUCUCACUUACUCUGGUAUUUCUGAAAGUGAAAGGGGUGAAGGAUAGUGUAGUGAGCAGAGAACACACAGGUUAUGUUGAAAAUUUUGGUCGAUGUUACAGUCCAUUAGCUGGCAGAAAUAUAGCACAACUAGCAUGCCUAGAUGCACACAACGUUGAUGGUAAGAUAUGCUUGACAACUAACUAACAAAAUCAGAUUAUUCAUUUCAUAAAUGUAGAAAAAAAAUAAGUAUGGUCUUCACAACGUGUCUUCUUCUAUGAUUCGGUAACUUGCAUUCCAAUCUUAUUUGUCUUCUUCUCAUUGGGCAUGGUGUCUUUAGGUUAUCAAAGGGGAUUGUGUAUGGCUGUUGACAAUCCAGAUUGUGGGCAGCUAAGAGGUUAGGAUUACUCAUGUAAAUUUUUGCUUAUAAAUAAUAUAAUAACGCAGUAGUAGCCUCUCGUACUAUUUUUUGUCAAAAAUGGUGUGAUACUAAGAUUUUCACUACAGUACCAUCCGUAUCCAAUGUAACUCGGCUAUAGGUUAUCCAAAGUAAUGAUGUCUAUCACUCUGGUUGAUUUGCGAUAUGGUAUUAUGGGUCCAUAUGCACCUGAGCUUUGCUACUUUCUCUGAUUACCAUGAACUCUGUACACAUGAGCAUGCCUAUGCCAUUGUCAAGUGCUACUCCAAACACCAUUUACUGCUUUAAAAUAUCUCUCAACUUGGAUAGAGCAUCCUGAAAGGUCCAGAUUUACACAACAUGAUAUUUUUACUAUGAGGACCCUUACUUCUAGCACUAGGUUUUGAUUGUCUGUUGUUUUGUACAUCUUUUACCAAUAUGAUUUUAAUCUUUAAAAAAGAUCAUAUUCUGGACUCACAACAGAUUGGAUAGAGCAUCCUGCAAGGUCUGUGAGGUGCAGAUGAUAUUUCAGUGCUCAGUGUGCAGCUUAUUUUGUAGACAUCGCGGUUUCAGUUUGCAAUAUUAGACCUACUUGUAUCAAGGUAGGGUUGACCAUAACUGAACUUUGAAUUUGUUUAUACAGUAUACAUUAUGCGCUUCAUCCAGUAUACGUUAUGCGCUUCAUCCAAUAAAAAUAUGAAAUCCAUGUGUUGCUUUGGCUCUCUUGAUAGCAAUUAAUUGCGUAUAUUCAACUGGCCUUCUGGUUGACUAGCAUAAAAGGUCAUAUUCUAUUUUUGAUGUGAGCUAUCCUCCUAUUCAUGUCCUGGAGGCUUUGCUUCCCAGGUUUAUUGCUUUUGCAAUUUAAAGUUUUGAAGCACUGCCUCACAUUUCUUUAAUUACUAUUAACAUUACAAACUGGGCUUCGAAUAUCAUGGUUUUUCACUGGGAAAUAAUAGCACAUUUAGCUUUGUCUGACCUAUUUAUUAUCGAUUAAUGUAACACUUUACGAUGUAGAUGCUGGCAAUGGGCCGUUAGCUACGCGCUUAUAGUUUGUAGUUAUGCACACCAGGUUCCUAUGUAGGCCUAUUUAUGUUGCAGAGGGGAAAACUUCUCUGUUCCGUCCACUUGCCUACAGUGGUGGCGCAUACAAGUUGCAUGUGAGUAGGCCACAUAUCUUGGUUUUUCCUGUUACUUCUGAUUAUCCAUGUGAAAACAUUAUUUUACAAUCAGCUGUGGUGAAAAAAUUAUUGCAGUUGAGUUGGUUAAUUAUCGUACUUAAAUCUCGCCUCCAUGCACGGAAUUUUAAUGGGGUUAGUAUGCUUUGUACUGACCCAAGAACAAUUCCUUAUGAUGCUCACCAUUUGUGCAUUUCUUUUGGUCUAGGACAAAGGGUAUGUGGAAGACUGGAUUUGAUAUUAUCAUGGAAUGAUAGCUAUUAGCGUGUUCCUGGCUCUCGUUUGCUGUUAUUCCUUCAUAAUUGCAACAAAGUGAGUAUUGUAGGCUCAGAGAGAAAUCUUCUGAAUUUUGUAGCCCGCAUCUUUAUUUUCUUCCUCAACAAUUCAUGAUGUACCAUGUAGUAAUUUUGAUUUUUCAUUCGGAUGUUAUUUUCUUUACAAAUCCGCAAGCAACACACAAUUCAUGUUUGUUGUUUUAGUCUUGCUAAUUCUUGACACGUUCCCAUGUUUGUUUUGUGAGAGAGCUUUUGAUGUCGUAUCUAUGCUCAUUCUUAAAAGAUACUUGUUUGGUUGAUUGCAUUAUGAAGAAAGUAGACCAUUUUAGACCGAAGAUAUGGAUUUAUGACAACUUCGAGAUGAGUUUGGCUGAUGAUGAAACUUUCAAAUUAAUGACAUUUUGAUUUAGCACGUGGUUAGGUUAUGCUCUUAGGAAAUAAAUGUUCUUCUGUAAUUUUAGUUUCAAGUACUUUUGAUUGAUAAUAUGGAGGAUAUGUAUUUAUGGUAAUGUUUUCUAUUGGUAUUAUUUAGGGAUGCAAAUCAAUAUCUUGCUCUGGCUAUGCUGUGCAGUGGCCUAAGCGUUGGACCACCGGGUGGAUAGGGCAAGCGUGUGAUGUGCCAGGGCGUAAUCUGUGUCGCUGCUCCGCAUAGAGGAGCACACCAUCGAGAUGGCCCAAAAUGGAAACACCGUAGGCCACAACUCUGGUGGGGGCCUCCAUGGUUGCUGACGACCAGAUGCCACCAUGGUCUCCGACGUCGUCAUGGCCCUUGCCGCCAGCCCACAACACAGUGCCGAGCAGGGGGGUGUGGCCGGCGGUG